GUGUCAGCAGCCGCGGUAAGACGUAGGUGGCGAGCGUUAUCCGGAUUUACUGGGCGUAAAGCGCGUGCAGGUGGUUUGAUAAGUCGGGCGUGAAAUCUCCUGGCUCAACUAGGAGAGGCCGUCCGAUACUAUCAGACUUGAGGGCAGUAGAGGGAGGUGGAAUUCCGGGUGUAGUGGUGAAAUGCGUAGAUAUCCGGAGGAACACCGGUGGCGAAGGCGGCCUCCUGGACUGCCCCUGACACUCAGACGCGAAAGCUAGGGGAGCGAACGGGAUUAGAUACCCCCGUAGUCC
rnacentral:rRNA from 1 species